rnacentral:misc_RNA from 1 species
AACCACCGAGCCGUGGGGGUUUUUCUCAGUCACUGUGGUUGGAACUCGGUGCUUGAGAGCAUAGUGGGUGGAGUAAUGAUACUUGGUUGGCCCAUGGAAGCGGACCAGUUUAUCAAUGCGAGGCUACUGGUAGAAGAAUUGGGAGUAGCUGUCCGCGUUUGCGAGGGGGCGAACUCGGUGCCUGAACCGGCCGAGUUGGAGAAGGCCAUCGCCGGGUCUUUGAGGGAAGAGUCGCCGGAAAAAAUGAAAGCAAAAGCUUUGAAAAGAGAGGCAAUGGAAG